UACGUAGGGUGCAAGCGUUAAUCGGAAUUACUGGGCGUAAAGCGUGCGCAGGCGGUUUUGUAAGUCUGUCGUGAAAGCCCCGGGCUCAACCUGGGAAUUGCGAUGGAGACUGCAAGGCUUGAAUCUGGCAGAGGGGGGUAGAAUUCCACGUGUAGCAGUGAAAUGCGUAGAGAUGUGGAGGAACACCGAUGGCGAAGGCGGUUGCCUGGAGCUUUGCUGACGCUGAUGCGCGAAAGCGUGGGGAGCGAUCCGG
rnacentral:rRNA from 1 species